rnacentral:rRNA from 1 species
AACGCGAAGAACCUUACCCAGGCUUGACAUGCAGUAGACAGUACCAGAGAUGGUAUCUCCCUUCGGGGCUGCUGCACAGGUGCUGCAUGGCUGUCGUCAGCUCGUGCCGUGAGGUGUUGGGUUAAGUCCCGCAACGAGCGCAACCCUUAUCAUUAGUUGCCAGCACGUAAUGGUGGGAACUCUAAUGAGACUGCCCGGGUUAACCGGGAGGAAGGUGAGGAUGACGUCAAGUCCGCAUGGCCCUUAUGUCUGGGGCUACACACGUGCUACAAUGGUCGGUACAGAAGGCAGCGAAACCGCGAGGUGAAGCAAAUCCCGAAAGCCGGCCCCAGUUCAGAUUGUAGUCUGCAACUCGACUACAUGAAGACGGAAUUGCUAGUAAUGGUGGGUCAGCAACACCACCGUGAAUACGUUCCCGGGUCUUGUACACACCGCUCGUC